GUCAAAAGGGAAAGAGCCCAGAUCGUCAAUUAAGGUCCCAAAGAUAUAGCUAAGUGGAAAACGAUGUGAUUUUGCAUAAACAACCAGGAUGUUGGCUCAGAAGCAGCCAUUCAUUCAAAGAGUGCGUAAUAGCUCACUGGUCGAGUGAAGUUGCGCGGAAAAUUACCGGGGCUAAGCUAUACACCGAAAUUGCGGAUUUACAUUUGAAAGAUAAUGUAAGUGGUAGAGGAGCAUUCUGUAGUAGGAAGAAGCAUGACCGUAAGGACAUGUGGACGAAGCAGAAGAGAGAAUGCUGGAAUAAGUAGCGAGAGGAUGGUGAGAAUCCAUCCCGUCGAAAAUCUAAGGUUUCCCAGGGAAGGUUCGUCCGCCUGGGGUAAGUCGGGACCUAAGGAGAGGCCGAAAGGCGUAUCUGAUGGAUAGCAGGUUGAAAUUCCUGCACUACGAAUAUACUUAAAAGAUUCAAGGGACGCAGAAGUGGAAGAUAACCAAGUAAGAGGAAAAGCUUGGCUCGCAAGAGGGAGUGAAAAUUAAAAGUAACGAAGUAUCAAGAAGCACGCUGACGAGAAAAGCUUGAAGAUAUUGUAUAUAAGUACCCGUACCGCAAACCGACACAGGUAGAUGAGGAGAGGAUCCUAAGACGAGCGGGAGAAGCAUUGUUAAGGAACUCGGCAAAUUAACCCCGUAACUUCGGAAUAAGGGGUGCUGAUGUAACAGUCAGUCGCAGAGAAAAGGCCCAAGCAACUGUUUAACAAAAACAUAGGUUUCUGCUAAAUCGAAAGAUGAAGUAUAGGAGCUGACGCCUGCCCAGUGCUGGAAGGUUAAGGGAAAGAGUUAGGGUUAAACCGAAGCUUAGAACUGAAGCCCCAGUGAACGGCGGCCGUAACUAUAACGGUCCUAAGGUAGCGAAAUUCCUUGUCAGGUAAGUUCUGACCCGCACGAAAGGCGUAAUGAUUUGGGCGCUGUCUCGACAAUGUCCCCGGCGAAAUUGUAGUACUAGUGAAGAUGCUAGUUACCUGCGAUAAGACAGAAAGACCCCAUGGAGCUUUACUGCAGUUUGAUACUGGGUUUCGAUGAUUUAUGUACAGGAUAGUUGGGAGACUAUGAAAGAGAGGCGUCAGCUUCUCCGGAGUCGUUGUUGGGAUACCAACCUUAAGUUAUUGAAAUUCUAACUUGUGGUCAUGACCUGGCCAGAGGACAAUGUCAGACGGGCAGUUUGACUGGGGCGGUCGCCUCCUAAAGAGUAACGGAGGCGCCCAAAGGUUUCCUCAGCGCGGACAGAAAUCGCGCGAAAGAGUGCAAAGGCAGAAGGAAGCUUAACUGAGAGACAGACAUGUCGACCAGAUACGAAAGUAGGGCUUAGUGAUCCGGUGGUUGUAAAUGGAAAUGCCAUCGCUCAACGGACAAAAGUUACCCUGGGGAUAACAGGCUUAUCUCCCCCAAGAGUUCACAUCGACGGGGAGGUUUGGCACCUCGAUGUCGGCUCAUCGCAUCCUGGAGCGGAAGUACGUUCCAAGGGUUGGGCUGUUCGCCCAUUAAAGCGGUACGCGAGCUGGGUUCAGAACGUCGUGAGACAGUUCGGUCCUUAUCUAUCGCAGGCGUAAGAUAUUUGAAGAGUGCUGUCCUUAGUACGAGAGGACCAGGAUGGACAUACCAAUGGUGUAUCAGUUGUCUCACCAGAGGCACGGCUGAGUAGCUAAGUAUGGA
rnacentral:rRNA from 1 species